AAAAAUGGCAUUGCGCACUCUCUUGACUUUAUCCAUGUGCACAGGUCAAACCUAUUUUCACUUUAAAAAAAUCUAAGAAUUGCGCAAACUUGCAUUGUGCACUCCCUUCGCUUUGUCCAUGUACACAUGAUUAAAUCACAUUAAAAGUGAAAGGAGCACCCAAUUUUACAAUACAGUCAAACAAAAAAACACAAUCUCAAUAAAAUAACAUGAAAAAGGAAAAACAUGUUAUACAUUUAAGCACUAUAAAAAGCAAAUAUCUGCUUACCCUAUGUAAAAGUUCCUUCAUCUUUAGUCUGUGGCAUACAAAGUUCCUUAACGACAUCCAAAAACUUCUUAAAAUUAUCUGAACUCGAAUUCGUACAUCGGCAUCGCUUCAUCUGAACUUUUCUUCCCUCAAACCCUUUCAAAUCCAUCUAAAUGGUUUUUACGUUUGACUAGAUGUGUGUCCUUCCUACAUACAAGGACACUUAUAAUGGCUACUAAGUAAACCUUCAUUACACACCAAUCAAUUAAUGCUCCUUUUCCCUUUCAUUCCAGAUCAUACAGAAACUUCAAAUGAAUCUUACUACAUUCAGCCAUUCUACUGUCUAAACAAUAAAACCAACGCACACUCACAAAAGUGCUUACAAAACAUCCCACGAUUCAAAAUUUCCCAGAAUCGUGCACCAGGUUAUGUCACAAUAGGGUUUCCAUAACAUUCAACUACUCAAGCUACCAUAAAUGAAACAACAACUUCGCCAUAAUACAAGGGGUACCUUAAAAUUUAUUUUAAUCCUAGAUUUUUCUUGCAGGGUAACAGAAUUUAGGUACAGCAAAAGUCUUAAGAGUUUAGAGAGACAAAUCCAAAUAGCAUAAAACCUACUAGUGACCGUUUGGGAGAAACGUAUUCUGAUUUGAAGAAAUUAAUUAUUAACCAUUCAUUAGUUUCCACAAGACUCAAUGUUUUUACAUGAUAAUUAGUGUUCAGUGUUUACAUCCGCUGCGUAACGAAGUGUGUCAUGUAGAUUAGAAGUGACAUUCUAAAAGGUGGCUAAAUGUUUCAUCAGAGAUGUAUACUGUAAAUUCUAUGUUUCUUUUUUUAUUGGCUGUUUGUGAAUUUAAUGCAGAUAUAACUUUCAGCUCUGUCAGUGCAGACACAAAUUUCAUUCAUGUGCUUGUCAUGAAUAAUGUAUUGGGUAUUUCCAUCCCCAGUUGAAGAUCAUGCCUAUCUGGCUCCAGUAUGAAAUGUGUCAGUAUACAACUUUCACGAAACCAGUGCAGGAUUCUACCACAAUUUUAGAAAGGCAAAAUGAAAUCUCAAAUAUUUUCUGUUAAAUCUUGGACAUACAAAAUACAGCAGUCGUGGGAAACAUUAUUUCUGUGCAGUUUGCAAGAAAUGGCAUCAUGGCGAUUAGUGUAAAGGAGCGUUUUGGAAAUCAGCUAAAGUUUCACAAGAACAGAAGUAACAUGAAACAUUGAACUCAUGCAUUAAUGAAACAUUUGAAGAUUAAAUUUGAGAUGUCCUUUUGCAAAGGCAGCAUCUUUGAAUGAAUUUCUUAGCUAAGUCACUCUUGCAUGCAAAUAAUUUAUUGCAUAAAACAUUUCAGUGUGAUUUCUCAUGAGAGGAAAUAAGCACAUGUAUUGCAAAAUGACCUUUGAAUUUAAAUGCCCUGCUUUAUUUAGUACAUGUUUAUAAUUUCUCACAGGUGUGGAUAAAAAUAUGUUUUAAACACUCAUUAUAUAUAACAUUCCAGUGUGAUUUCUCAUGAGCACAUGUAUUGUAAAAUGAUCCUUGAAAUUUAAGUGCCCUGCUAUAUUUAGUAAAUGUUUAUCAUUUCUCACUGGUAUGGAUAAAAAUAUGUUUUAAAUACUCGUUUAACUGUGAAUAAUUAGUUACAGGUAGCACAUUUGUGUUAUUUCUCAUUGUUAUGGGUAAGAAUUACACUUGUGUGUGCAGAUGAUUUACAAAGACUGCAUUUAUAUAGUUUGUCUCCAGUGUGUGUAAACAUGCUUAUUAAAUUAUGCCUGCAGGCAAAUGAUUCAUCACAUAUAACUUGUUCAUGUGGUUGGUCGUUAAUGUGGUUAAGAUGUGUGUUUUAUGUGAAUUUUGACUAUAAAUGUCAAGAGCCCAUGAAUGUGGUUUCUUAUGUGUGAAGAAAGCACCACGUGUCUUUAACAUAUUUGUGUGUGCAAAUAACUCGCUAUAUAUAUAUGUGUGUGUGUGUGUAACAAUCAUAUAAUUUCUUAUUUCAUUUCGUAUGCAUGUCUCUGUAGCACUCCAGUAUAACUGACAUCUAUAUAUACCACUGGUAUUCAAACGUUAUUGCAGUGUACUCGGGCUUGAACUCAGCAGACUAAGAACUAACUUAAAACUAAUCAUAACUAAAAAGAUAUAGCCGAAGCUAUCAAAAUUCUAACAGAGUUGGCCCUUUAAUGUUAAUUGACUACAAAGUUAUCAAGGGCCUAGAGUAUGGCCAAGUGUAAUAAUAGCCUAAGAAAGAGAGUAGCCUAAAAAUGCAGAUGCGUGCUAGCCAAAAUCUCUGGUAAUCUUUGGAAGACAGUAGAAUAUCGAGGUUAAAUACCACUCUUCCUCAGUUUGCAUUCAAACGCGAUUCGAAAAAUACAAUCUGGCCAAAAGUAGUAAGUUAAAAUUCAGAAAGUACAGGAAAGAAAGUUUAACUUAAAAUUUAGCUGCUUCCCAAAUUAACCUAAUGAAUCUUACAGUGGCACCCAAACUAAAAGGGUGUUGGAUGAUGAUUCUCCUCACCCAGGAUUUUGUGAUUGGGUCCCCUAAAAUCUGCAGUCACCCUUUAAAAGGGGGAGUAUAUAAAGGUAUUUCUCUCGUCUUCUUGGUGUGGUGAUCUGCAUGCUCAGUGCUUAAUUGAGAGGUCCUAGGUUCGAUUACCGGCAAAGAUGGUUUGCUAAUUUUUUAUCUCUUUGGCUUCCAAAAAAUCGUAAUGUCUCUACAGAAUGAUAAAUACAAAUGUUUUUUAAUCAGCUAAUAUGUUAGAAUACCUCUGGUCAUUGAUGAUUGUUGAACAUUAAUUAUAUGUUGUGAUUUGUUUUUUAUUUUAAAACAUUUUCUUUUCAUGCACACUAAUUAGUAUUUUCUGUUGCUGUAAAAAGCAAAACAUAUCAUUCGAAAAGACAUUUUAUUGUUAUAGGAUAAUGUGUAAAUCCUUUGUUCAAAUUCUCAUAGUUCUCGACUGGAUGGCUAGAAGGAAUUGCUCACAUGAAUCAACAGAGGCCUUUUCACUGAUAGUAAAAUUUCUCUCAUCUAUAUGUAAUACAAAUAACUUGAAAUUAUAUUAAGUACACCUUUUUUUUACUAACAGAAGGUUACAGCAUGUCCUUUUAAACAAAUAAUAACUUGCAUUUUUAAUGUGCGAUUUUUUUUUUUUUUUUUUAAUUUUAUGUGAAAGGCAGGGUUAGAUUGAAUCAUUGAUGACCUAAGCAGUUAUCAGGAUAUAAUUUAAGGUUAGAGGAAUUACCGCAUGACCUUGUUAGAAACUUCAGUUAGGAUUUAUUAUGUCUUGCACAGCUAGAUUUCACGAGAACCAUUUCACACAAAGCAAUUUUGAUAUUUUGUGGGAGAAAAAUUUAUUGUCAAAAAGCAAGCAAAUAGUUGUUUCACGAUACUGAAGCUUUCACCAUACUGGAUUAAGGAAUGAGGGAGCUCUCUUGCAGCCUGCUUUUGGCACAGAUCUACUAGAAUGUCAGCUAAUUUGGCAAAAUCUUAAGAGUCACCAAAUGCCAUUUAUUCGAAAGUGUCGUAUGCAGAGUGUGAAGGCGGAAUAGAGUUAAGUCUCUUUGAAGAAUGUGAUGAUGAUUGACUUAAUGUAAAUCUGCAAUUAUAUUAACUAUGUCGUGUUAUUUAUUAGCCAAGAAAUUUUAUUAGGAAAAGAAAAGUUUCAUACUUGCUCCAUUACAGCAUUUGGUUUGUACAGAAACAAGCAAAAAUACUCAUGAGUUAUAAUUCAAGCUGCUAAUACAAUUUUAAUUACCAGUUCCCUCAUUAUGUAUUAUUAUUUAAUUGUUGUUUUUGUCAUGAAAUAUUUCUCAUAAUCAAUAUUCAACUUAAUUUUUUUAAUAUGUUAUUAACCUAUUUUAGCCUGCAUUGUGAAAAUUAGUAUUUAUAUUUCAUUAUUUCUAAACAAUUGAUUCCUUAGAUAUGCUUUACAUUAUUGAACAUUACAUUAAAAGAAUUAUAGCACAUACAGAUGUUUUAAAACAUUACAAAACAAAAGAUACAGCUACUCCGUACAUUGCAUGCCUAGUUUUAAAGCAUGUGAAUGUUUAUUAAUGAAUAGUCAAGAAAAAUAAUAAUUAUUUAAAACUAUGUAAAUAGUUACGGCAGGUCAGUUCUGCAUAUUCACAAAUAAGCUAAACUUAUUCAAUUAAUCACAUUUAUUUACAAUUACAUAGCGAAAGAAAAGAACAUGCUACCAAAACAUCACACCACGUUUCUGCGUGCUAGCGAUAACAGCACAGGCACGAGGAAGACUAACUCACUAGAGUCAGAUCACUUUCCUUGAGAAAAAUGUUCAGAGUCUACUUGCAGCACUGCUAUAUAUGAAAAAGACAAACAGUUAACAUUUAAUUUAAAAGUUUGUUGCAUGGUUGCUGCAUGUUAUUGAUGAAGUCUAACGUUAGGAAUGGAGACAAAUAAAUAAGCAGAGAUUCAUCUAAAUUAACAUAUAUUGAAACACAAAAUGGCACAAGUACAGUAAAUUCUACAUGGUAAAGUAAAACAGUGACAACAACUAAAAAAAAAGAACGUUGCCAAGAGAAAAAUAUAAAAAGUGUGUUGCCACACAUGUUGUAAAAUACAAAUGGGAAAUAUAAUCACAAAUAAAAGUUAUUUGCAACAGUUAUUAGCAUAGAUUGAAAAAGAGAACAAUUAUAAAUUAUUAAGAAAAAGGGAAGAAAUAAAAACAAUAAUAAAUCAAAA
rnacentral:lncRNA from 1 species